AUUGAACGCUGGCGGCAGGCUUAACACAUGCAAGUCGAGCGGGGGAAGGUAGCUUGCUACCGGACCUAGCGGCGGACGGGUGAGUAAUGCUUAGGAAUCUGCCUAUUAGUGGGGGACAACAUCUCGAAAGGGAUGCUAAUACCGCAUACGUCCUACGGGAGAAAGCAGGGGAUCUUCGGACCUUGCGCUAAUAGAUGAGCCUAAGUCGGAUUAGCUAGUUGGUGGGGUAAAGGCCUACCAAGGCGACGAUCUGUAGCGGGUCUGAGAGGAUGAUCCGCCACCCUGGGACUGAGACACGGCCCAGACUCCUACGGGAGGCAGAAGUGGGGAAUAUUGGACAAUGGGGGGAACCCUGAUCCAGCCAUGCCGCGUGUGUGAAGAAGGCCUUAUGGUUGUAAAGCACUUUAAGCGAGGAGGAGGCUACUUUAGUUAAUACCUAGAGAUAGUGGACGUUACUCGCAGAAUAAGCACCGGCUAACUCUGUGCCAGCCGCCGCAGUAA
rnacentral:rRNA from 1 species